UAAGUACCCCUCUAUCAACUGUCUUUUAGUUACCUGAGUUGUUUUUAUCAAUAGCACCAGUGCUGUUUUUAUUGCAUGCUCUUAUUUAUUUUUUUAUCUAGUUUUUAGUGGUUUUAUUUAAGCUUGGUGCUUUUUAGAUUCCAAACUCAGUAGUUUUUAUCUUUGCUUGACAGAGGCUCCUGGCUCCAACAGACUGAAGACGGCUCCCCUUGCUGGACUUAAUAAACUGCCUCUUAACCCUCUUCUUAAAACUGUUGUCCCGGGUCCUCUGUCUCCACACACCUCCAGAUCCAAAAUCAAAGGGAACCUGCACCUGCUCUUUACAUUAGCAGCAUUGAAUAUUUGGAGUGAAUUAUACUUAAUCUGUCUACAGGUCAACCUUGGUGUUUUUGAGGCUUUGGGAGUGAAACACUACAUAACAUCAGCCUACCAUCCCCAGGCCAACGGACAGGAUGAGCGCACCAAUCGGAACAUAAAAACGGCUCUUGCAAAAUACCGUGGGGAGGACAAAAACGACUGGGACAUUUAUUUAAGGGGAAUAGUGGCGGCAUAAACACAUCUAAGCAGAUCAACCAAAUACACACCAUAUUGCGCCUUGUUUGGAAGACACCCUCGCACAGCAGGUGGGAUAAAUGCUACACAAGAAGAGGGCAAUGACAAAGGUGUUGUUGUGCAAGAGGAGACGGAAGAACACCUGGAGGCCAAGAUUGCAGAAGUGGUUGAUUUGCAUGCAAAGAUUUGCCAGAACAUAACACAUGCACAGGAGAGACAAAAGAGGGAAUAUGAGACAAGAAAAAAGCGGAACGUGAAAUCCUUUGUCUUCAAAGUUGGUGAUGAGGUCCUUAAAGCUAACAAAAG